rnacentral:rRNA from 1 species
GACGGGGGGUCCAAGCGUUGUUCGGAACUCAUUGGGCGAUAAAGCGUGUGCAGGGUGGUUACUUGUAAGUUGGAUGGAUGAAAGCCCCCGGGGCCUCAACUCGGGAAGUGCAUUCAAAACUACAAAACUUGAGUAGGAAGAGGGUCGUGGAAUUCCUGGUGUAGUGGUGAAAUACGUAGAUAUCAGGAGGAACACCGGUGGCGAAGGCGGCGACCUGGUCCUAUACUGACACUCAUACACGAAAGCGUGGGGAUCAAACAGG